AUGGUCAACACCGAAAUCAGAUUGAUUGUAUUCUUUGCAGCCAAAGAUGGAGAAGCUCUAUAUAAGUCAGCAAAAACAAAACCAGGAGCUGACUGUGGCUCAGAUCACGAACUCCUUAUUGCCAAAUUCAGACUUAAAUUGAAGAAAGUAGGGAAAACCACUAGACCAUUCAGGUAUGACCUAAAUCAAAUCCCUUAUGAUUAUACAGUGGGAGUGAGAAAUAGAUUUAAGGGACUAGAUCUGAUAGAUAGAGUGCCUGAUGAACUAUGGACUGAGGUUCAUGACAUUGUACAGGAGACAGGGAUCAAGACCAUCCCCAUGGAAAAGAAAUGCAAAAAAGCAAAAUGGCUGUCUGGGGAGGCCUUACAAAUAGCUGUGAAAAGAAGAGAAGUGAAAAGCAAAGGAGAAAAGGAAAGAUAUAAGCAUCUGAAUGCAGAGUUCCAAAGAAUAGCAAGAAGAGAUAAGAAAGCCUUCCUCAGCAACCAAUGCAAAGAAAUAGAAGAAAACAACAGAAUGGGGAAGACUAGAGAUCUCUUCAAGAAAAUCAGAGAUACCAAAGGAACAUUUCAUGCAAAGAUAGGCUCGAAAAAGGACAGAAAUGGUAUGGACCUAACAGAAGCAGAAGAUAUUAAGAUGUGGCAGGAAUACACAGAAGAACUGUACAAAAAAGAUCUUCACGACCCAGAUAAUCACGAUGGUGUGAUCACUGACCUAGAGCCAGACAUCCUGGAAUGUGAAGUCAAGUGGGCCUUAGAAAGCAUCACUACGAACAAAGCUAGUGGAGGUGAUGGAAUUCUAGUUGAGCUAUUUCAAAUCCUGAAAGAUGAUGCUGUGAAAGUGCUGCACUCAAUAUGCCAGCAAAUUUGGAAAACUCAGCAGUGGCCACAGGACUGGAAAAGGUCAGUUUUCAUUCCGAUCCCAAAGAAAGGCAAUGCCAAAGAAUGCUCAAACUACUGCACAAUUGCACUCAUCUCACACGCUAGUAAAGUAAUGCUCAAAAUUCUCCAAGCCAGGAUUCAGCAAUACGUGAACCGUGAACUUCCUGAUGCUCAAGCUGGUUUUAGAAAAGGCAGAGGAACCAGAGAUCAAAUUGCCAACAUCUGCUGGAUCAUGGAAAAAGCAAGAGAGUUCCAGAAAAACAUCUAUUUCUGCUUUAUUGACUAUGCCAAAGCCUUUGACUGUGUGGAUCACAAUAAACUGUGGAAAAUUCUGAAAGAGAUGGGAAUACCAGACCACCUGACCUGCCUCUUGAGAAACCUUAUAUGCAGGUCAGGAAGCAACAGUUAG
ensembl:lncRNA